rnacentral:rRNA from 1 species
AGAUUAAGUUAUUAAGGGCGCACGGUGGAUGCCUUGGCACUAGAAGCCGAUGAAGGACGUUACUAACGACGAUAUGCUUUGGGGAGCUGUAAGUAAGCUUUGAUCCAGAGAUUUCCGAAUGGGGAAACCCAGCAUGAGUUAUGUCAUGUUAUCGAUAUGUGAAUACAUAGCAUAUCAGAAGGCACACCCGGAGAACUGAAACAUCUUAGUACCCGGAGGAAGAGAAAGAAAAUUCGAUUCCCUUAGUAGCGGCGAGCGAAACGGGAAGAGCCCAAACCAACAAGCUUGCUUGUUGGGGUUGUAGGACACUCUAUACGGAGUUACAAAGGACGACAUUAGACGAAUCAUCUGGAAAGAUGAAUCAAAGAAGGUAAUAAUCCUGUAGUCGAAAAUGUUGUCUCUCUUGAGUGGAUCCUGAGUACGACGGAGCACGUGAAAUUCCGUCGGAAUCUGGGAGGACCAUCUCCUAAGGCUAAAUACUCUCUAGUGACCGAUAGUGAACCAGUACCGUGAGGGAAAGGUGAAAAGCACCCCGGAAGGGGAGUGAAAUAGAACCUGAAACCGUGUGCUUACAAGUAGUCAGAGCCCGUUAAUGGGUGAUGGCGUGCCUUUUGUAGAAUGAACCGGCGAGUUACGAUUUGAUGCAAGGUUAAGCAGUAAAUGUGGAGCCGUAGCGAAAGCGAGUCUGAAUAGGGCGUUUAGUAUUUGGUCGUAGACCCGAAACCAGGUGAUCUACCCUUGGUCAGGUUGAAGUUCAGGUAACACUGAAUGGAGGACCGAACCGACUUACGUUGAAAAGUGAGCGGAUGAACUGAGGGUAGCGGAGAAAUUCCAAUCGAACCUGGAGAUAGCUGGUUCUCUCCGAAAUAGCUUUAGGGCUAGCCUCAAGUGAUGAUUAUUGGAGGUAGAGCACUGUUUGGACGAGGGGCCCCUCUCGGGUUACCGAAUUCAGACAAACUCCGAAUGCCAAUUAAUUUAACUUGGGAGUCAGAACAUGGGUGAUAAGGUCCGUGUUCGAAAGGGAAACAGCCCAGACCACCAGCUAAGGUCCCAAAAUAUAUGUUAAGUGGAAAAGGAUGUGGCGUUGCCCAGACAACUAGGAUGUUGGCUUAGAAGCAGCUAUCAUUUAAAGAGUGCGUAAUAGCUCACUAGUCGAGUGACACUGCGCCGAAAAUGUACCGGGGCUAAACAUAUUACCGAAGCUGUGGAUUGUCCUUUGGACAAUGGUAGGAGAGCGUUCUAAGGGCGUUGAAGCAUGAUCGUAAGGACAUGUGGAGCGCUUAGAAGUGAGAAUGCCGGUGUGAGUAGCGAAAGACGGGUGAGAAUCCCGUCCACCGAUUGACUAAGGUUUCCAGAGGAAGGCUCGUCCGCUCUGGGUUAGUCGGGUCCUAAGCUGAGGCCGACAGGCGUAGGCGAUGGAUAACAGGUUGAUAUUCCUGUACCACCUAUAAUCGUUUUAAUCGAUGGGGGGACGCAGUAGGAUAGGCGAAGCGUGCGAUUGGAUUGCACGUCUAAGCAGUAAGGCUGAGUAUUAGGCAAAUCCGGUACUCGUUAAGGCUGAGCUGUGAUGGGGAGAAGACAUUGAGUCUUCGAGUCGUUGAUUUCACACUGCCGAGAAAAGCCUCUAGAUAGAAAAUAGGUGCCCGUACCGCAAACCGACACAGGUAGUCAAGAUGAGAAUUCUAAGGUGAGCGAGCGAACUCUCGUUAAGGAACUCGGCAAAAUGACCCCGUAACUUCGGGAGAAGGGGUGCUCUUUAGGGUUAACGCCCAGAAGAGCCGCAGUGAAUAGGCCCAAGCGACUGUUUAUCAAAAACACAGGUCUCUGCUAAACCGUAAGGUGAUGUAUAGGGGCUGACGCCUGCCCGGUGCUGGAAGGUUAAGAGGAGUGGUUAGCUUCUGCGAAGCUACGAAUCGAAGCCCCAGUAAACGGCGGCCGUAACUAUAACGGUCCUAAGGUAG